UACGGGGGGGGCUAGCGUUGUUCGGAAUUACUGGGCGUAAAGGGCGCGUAGGCGGUCUGCUAAGUUGGAUGUGAAAACUCUGGGCUUAACCCAGAGCCUGCAUUCAAUACUGACAGGCUAGAGUUCUGGAGGGGAUAGCGGAAUUCCUGGUGUAGCGGUGAAAUGCGUAGAUAUCAGGAGGAACACCGGUGGCGAAGGCGGCUAUCUGGACAGAGUCUGACGCUGAGACGCGAAAGCGUGGGGAGCAAACAGG
rnacentral:rRNA from 1 species